UAUUUUAAUAUUUAAUUUAUUCAUUGUGUUAAUAAUAAAAUAUUAGUAAUGGCUGCAGUGAUUAGCGAUCAAGUGAUAAUAAUAACUAAGUGAUGAUUGUGGUAGGUGAUAGUAAUGGUGGUGGCGAAAGGGGCGGCGGUAAUAGUGGUAGCUAAGUGGUUGUUAAAUGGUGGUUGUGGUGACAGUGUGAGAGUGGUGGAGUUAGUGGUGGUGCUAGUGGGGCAGCAUUAAAUAUGCAAUGUAAU
rnacentral:misc_RNA from 1 species